rnacentral:rRNA from 1 species
UACGAAGGGUGCAAACGUUGCUCGGAAUUAUUGGGCGUAAAGCGCACGUAGGCGGUAUUGCAAGUCGGAUGUGAAAUCCCUCGGCUUAACCAAGGAAGUGCAUCCGAAACUGCUGUACUUGAGUACGAAAGAGGAUCGCGGAAUUCCCGGUGUAGAGGUGAAAUGCGUAGAUAUCGUCAGGAAUGCCGGUGGUGAAGACGGGUGACUGGGCUGGUUCUGACACUGAGGCACGAAAGCGUGGGGAGCGAACGGG